UACGUAGGGGGCUAGCGUUGUCCGGAAUCAUUGGGCGUAAAGCGCGUGUAGGCGGCCCGGUAAGUCCGCUGUGAAAGUCGGGGGCUCAACCCUCGGAUGCCGGUGGAUACUGUCGGGCUUGAGUACGGAAGAGGCGAGUGGAAUUCCUGGUGUAGCGGUGAAAUGCGCAGAUAUCAGGAGGAACACCGAUUGCGAAGGCAGCUCGCUGGGACGUUAUUGACGCUGAGACGCGGAAGCGUGGGGAGCAAACAGG
rnacentral:rRNA from 1 species